rnacentral:lncRNA from 1 species
UUUUUCACUAAGUCUUUAGAGGUUUUAAGAUUCAAACACUAUGUAAGAAGAAUUAUGGUUUGAACUACGUAACAAUUACCUAGACAUCUUUUGGACUUCAGUUAACCUGUGUCAAGCACUGCAGUAGAUUCUGAAGAUACAAAAAUAAAUAAAACAUUCCUGCCCUCAAGACACUUACACUCUUAUGUGUAACACUGUGUGACCAUUCAUCUGGGCCUUCCUGAGACAGUCUUGGUUUACACCUGUUUUCCCAAUCAGAGCAUCACUGCCUUUCCCACUAUUCUCCUGCAGAAGAGCAGGGGAAGGAAGCACCAGGGUCCAUCAUGGAGGAAGGGUGUUGCCCUGAACAGCUGACACACCCUCAGCAAUGAAGCUUAGUUUUGCUGGAACUUUUCAGUUGUGACAACUGAGAUUCAGAGAUGUCCAAUCUACUCACAUAAAUAGCCUGGUUGAAGAUGGCUGAGCGUAAAACAGAAUGCAAGUCAGCUGGAGCACGUACUACUGGAGGCAGAGCCCCAUGAGAAGGGGCCAAGAACCCGCACCCAUCAAAAUCAAGAAGAAAGGCUGAACCCGGAGAGAAAAGGGAGCAACUGAUGUUGCCAUGCAGAUCCCUUGGUUGCUAUGAGAUGGUAACAUCACUCUGCCCCACCAUUGGCCAGUGCCUCCUCAGCUGCGGUGCCUCCCAGGCUGUGUGGUUCUCACGCGGGCCACUGACACAGAGCUGUUACUAUGGUGAACUUUACAAUUUCCUUUGAUUGGUGGAUUUCAGAAAUAGGCCAUCAGCGGAAUUCAUUAUAUUCAGCUAAGUAAAAAUGAAAAAUAAAUACUAUAACUUUCCCCUCAUCACUAACAUGAAGGAAACGUGACCCUUCAUGACAUAAUAAAUCGCUGUUCGGUAACUUAGGAUCCUUCAGGGGACUGAAGCGGGAUGAUCCUCCUAUGCCAAAUUUGGGUGGGAAAGAUAUUCCCUGUAGCUUUGAGUCGACUCUUCAGAGUUAAGGGCAGUGGGCCAACCAGAGUUGGAACUUCAGAGUUGGGAGGAGGUGUGGGAUGGGGCAUGCAUUGAAAUGUAAACUCUAUUGUCUCUGAAGUGAUGGGUGAUGCUGGGGGCCUGAGUGUGGAGGGCAGUUUUACAUCUCAGGACAAUGUUUUCUCAGAUGCUCUUCCAGAAAGAAAAGCCAGGAGUACUCCUGGCUGGAGGCGGCAUGCCUGAGGUCAGAGUCAAAGUAGGGUUUGUGCUGUCUGAAUCCUUUCUCCCACUCUCCCCAGCCUGGCUCAGCUUCUCAGCUUCUCAGGUGGAUUGGUGAGUCCUGGCCAAUUACGCUUCAGCUCAUCUCUACUCUCAGCAAAUAGGAAAAGGGAGUGAAGGACUGAGUUUUAACUCUUCUAAUUUCGUAACCUGACUCUCUAUAAGAAAAAGUAGGAGAAAGACUGAAGAACCCGAGAGAACAGGCCUCUGAGCCCAAGCCAAGCCAUCGCAUCCCCUGUGACUUGCCCGUAUAUAUGCCCAGAUGGCCUGAAGUAACUGAAGAAUCACAAAAGAAGUGAAUAUGCCUUGCCCCACCUUGACUGAUGACAUUCCACCACAAAAGAAGUGUAAAUGGCCGGUCCUUGCCUUAACUGAUGACAUUACCUUGUGAAAGUCCUUUUCCUGGCUCAUCCUGGCUCAAAAAGCACCCCCACUGAGCAUCUUGCGACUCCCACUCCUGCCCACUGAGCACCUUGUGACCCCCACUCCUGCCUGCCAGAGAACAAACCCCCUUUGACUGUAAUUUUCCUUUACCUACCCAAAUCCUAUAAAACGGCUCCACCCUUAUCUCCUUUUGCUGACUCUCUUUUCUGACUCAGCCCGCCUGCACCCAGGAGAUUAAAAGCUUUAUUGCUCACACAAA